GCACGGAUGGCCGAGUGGUCUAAGGCGCCAGACUCAAGCAAACAAUAUGUAUGCUUCACACGAGAACAGUGUGUGACAUUUGGAGUGUUCUGGUAUCGUGAUCGAUGCGUGGGUUCGAAUCCCACUCCGUGCA
rfam:Brugia pahangi genome assembly, scaffold: BPAG_contig0010690